ACAGCGGGUUGAAAGUUUCAGGGGGUCAGUCCCCCCCAGGAGCAAAGGAGAGUCUCAUUCUCAGAAAUGAGACUGGAUGUGCAGAAGAUAUGCGACAGCACCUGUCCCAGAAGACAAGGACUUGUCUUUCAAAGGAGGAGGGAGGCAGAGGGUUCAGAUGGGUCAGUGAACUUUCAGUGGACAGCAUGCCUUGAGGCCCGUGGGAUGAUUGUGGGCUGCAGCGAGAGCCUGCCUGCCUCACUAGAUGUGCUCAGCCCAUACUUUCUCUCCCGGAGGGGUCCAGAGUCGGAUCUGAAGCGGAGUCCUGAGACCCCAGCCGGCGUCCUGAAGCUCCCCCUCCCCCGGUGGAAAUCGGCUCCAACCGAAGCAGGUCUGCAGAGAGAAGCAAUCAUGACAGGGAUCUCCAGGAAGUGUCUCCCUGAUGGACUGGGAAGCGAUCCUUGUGAAAGACAUCCAGCCAGACCAAGAAGCAUCUAGGUCGUGGAGAAACAGGGGAUACACAGCCAGAGCGAGGACGGAGCAGAGGCCAGAGCCCAGGCGAGAUCCAAGUCUUCUUUCCUUUUGGUCUUCUGCCCCACUCCAGGAGUCAGUCUCUGUUGCAAACCAAAUUUCCACUCACUUCACACACACAUGCAGUGGGAAAUGGAAACAGCAGAGAGCAUCUUGGAGGAGAACUUGAGCUUACAUCCUUCGGUAGAUGCUGCCAACCUCCAGCCAGUCCUCUCUAAUAAGGCCCAAGAGCCAGCAAGAUAACAGCCUUUCUCAGAAGAACCAACAUACAGCUGCUCAGGAAUGCACACAAUCUCAAAGACCCGUGGGCUGCCUUGCCUUUUCUUCGCGAGUGGAAUUGUAGAGUUUGGGGACCAUGAUGCAGAAGUGAGAAACUGGUCAGGUCCAAAGAUGUCAGAACUCAGGGGUUUCAUGUUGUACACAGACAAGGAAGAGAAAAGAGGGAGUAUGUCAGUCAUAUCGCCUGGACCAGAUGGUUCUGGGUUUGGGAAUCCUCAUUUCUUGCAUCUUACAGUUACAUAAAUCUAUUACUUCUGUGCUUCUGGCUUUUUCUUUACUGUAUCAACAGGCUACUGCAGGGGUCAUAGCCUGGACAUGGCCAACCAGAAAGAUACUCAAGGAAUGCUCAAUGGGAAGAAAGCAGGUACACUUGAUCCCUGCAUAGAGCCGCAGAAACAAAUGUCAUUUGUGAAUUUAACUGCUAGAGGCUAAUGGAAAUACAAUGCAAACAACCUAAAGAAUUUCCAGCUCAAUGAAUGAUUCUUUUUUAUCUGUAAUCUUUAUUUGUAAAAGAGAAACCUAUUGUUUUUCCCUUAAGUUGUGAUGCCAGCAUAAUGUGAUCUCAUGCA